rnacentral:tRNA from 1 species
GGCCUCGUGGCCCAAUGGCAAGGCGUCUGACUACGAGUGAGGAUUCAGCAAUUGAGUUCCCUUACGGUGAUCAGGAGAUUCUGGGUUCGACCCCCAGCGAGGUCA